UUUUUUUAUGCUUUUGUUAAGCUUCUCACGCUUUACUGCCACUGCCGGGGACUCCUCCAACAUCCUCUCAAUUCCCCCACCGUAAGGUCCCAACAACUCAUUCACAAUCUCAGCUUCCAUCUCUUUGUUCACAAGGUUGAAAACAGACAGCUGCAAGUGCAAUGCCAUGCAGUCCACAAGCCUCCUCAAAACAACCUUCCAAUAAGCAAUCAUUCUCAUUUUAAGGUCAUAAGCUUGAGCUAACACAUGCGGGUACUUCCUCAGAACACCGACUUCCACUUCCCCGAUGCCUUCUAUAUCUAUGAUAGAAGGCUUCUUCUCAUCAGUUAAGACUCCAUGAAUGAAUUCGUUUUGACUAGCCAUCAGCUUGUUCCAUUCGGAAACAUAAUCACCAUCACAUGUAUAAUCUGUCAGCUUUUCCAUCUCUACAAGCUCCAGCAUCCACUUGAUUGACCUCUCCUUCAUCUUGGCCAUUAGACUAUGGCCGGCACGCCUUGCUGACAGCUGCAGCUGAUGAUAGUUAUCCGUAUAAUGCAUCAACACAGAAAUAACCACCUCUUCAAUGUAGUUCCACACUUUUUCCUCAAAUGCAAUCGGAAUACUCGAAAUUUCAUUCACUUUUGCCUGCAAGAUAAUGAGGAAAGCAUUGCGUGGAAGGAAGUUCGGAAGUGAAAUACCUUUGGCCUCCUCCAAGAUCCUGAUCUCCUCCAUCAAGAAGUUGCUCUUUGCAUCAGUUUCAGCACAUCUGUGAAGUUCAUCCGAGUACUGGUUGAGCAUCUCAACCAAUCUAGCAGUGCAGUGCAUGCGAUUGUCUUCCGCGUACUCCUGAAAUUCUCCUCUCAAAAGAAUCUUCCUAAGCGAUUCCUUAGCCAAGCCAGUGAUUUGCAUAAAAGCCGUCAUGGCCUCAGCAACCGAUGAAAGACUCUUUGGCAUUUUGUUCAGCUCCAUAAUGCAGAAGUUCAGCCUGUCAUUGAUCUUCUUCACUAUCUCAGGUAUAUUUCUUGCUAUGCUGUUUGCUUGAAUUUGGACCAGCUUCUGUGCUAAAACUGGAAUGCCGACAAUGGACUUGUCAAUCUUCGAAAGCAGAGGAUGGGUUUGAAAUAGUUCAUGAGCCAUCACCGCUGCCUCCUCAUCAGUUUCGUCACCAAUCCUGUUCCUUACACAGACAUAACCAAGACCAAUGUUUACAUCAUCUCCAGUGACCUUCUCAAGUAGUCCUUCCGGUGCCUUGUCCACUUUCGUAACCACAGCGAGCGUCCUCUCACCAGUUUUAUCUACACUUUGUGACAUCCGGAUUGACUCACACGUAGUAAAAUCCACCGUAGCAGACAAUACAUUCAGAAUAAUACUUUCCUCCGGCUUAAUAUACUCCAUGAUCAUAUCUUUGAUCUGAUCAUAGAUAUUUUCAGGUUGGCCAUGGACUGGAACCCUUGUGAUUCCCGGAAGAUCAACCAUAGUCAGAUCCGGAACCCCAUACUUCUUCACCAACAAAGUAAGUGGCGUGUUUGAAAUUCCCUUACCUCCCCCCGCAAUAGAAUUAGUAGCUUUCACAAUAUCUUUGGUGAUAUUUUCUUCAUCAGUACGAUCAACUCUGCCAUUGUACUCCAAGGAAAGUUCAGGCUGAGGACUCGAGUGGUGUUCGAGCCUCAUAAUAAGAGGCACUCUCGUGCAGAUGCCUUGGCCCCGAGGUAGGCUGAUGCCGGCCAAGGAUUCGAGCACGCUAGACUUCCCGGAUGACUGGUCUCCGACCACCACAAUCGUUGGCAGCUGAAUGCCUUCAUCCAUCACCUUCAAGCUGCGUAACUUGUCUACCGCAUCCAGAAGAGGGCGGAUCUUGUCGUUAUAGGACGACACAAUGGGUGCGCAUUUGAGGGGUACUGCGUCUAGUCCUGCCUGAACCAUUGCGAGGGAGCCUUCACCGUUUAUAACUGUGCGACUCGAUUCCAUUUUCCUUGGUCCUUGCGUUUCUGAAUUAUAGCAAGUCAAAACAAUGGUGAAAAAUCUAGAGGGAAACCGAGAUUGUAGAGAGAUGAGAGAGAAUUCGAAGAUGGAAAAUGUUCUGUAUUGGGUUUAUGACUUAAUGGAGUAAAAUGUUCUAUUUAUAGCUACUGCUAUAUAUCAUUCUUAGCCCUUAAGCAACUUAACUGACUCUCAAUCAACAAUAGCAACACAUCUAACAAAAAUGCUACUUUUCCGAUAUAUUUGUACCAUCAUUUGCUUACAUUGAUAAAUCGGACUCAUACUCAUAAGCUGACAUGGCAGCCACAUGACUUAAAAGUAAGAAGAUUACUUGUCAGCGAAGAUAUCAGUCAGGAAGAAGUGAGAAAGCUGGGUUUAGUAAGUGCCUUAGGCUUAAAGGCUCCUAGUUGUAUGUAUAAUUGUUCAGCAAAACCUAUCGAAGUAAAUGACAACCAGCCUUUUCAAAACCGCAUGCUGAGAGAGUUGUGAUUUGGACUUCCAAACGUUCAGCAAACCAAACCGCUUGCGAGCCUUUGAACUUCUAAACCCUAAUCAGUGUAAAUGUAAUAUGGACAGUUAACUGAUAACCAUUUUUUGUGCUUGAUGCUCUUGAACUUCAGUCAACCUUUAUAUAUUAUUCAUUCAAAUAAUCGAUGACUAGCUAGCCAAUGUAAGUUGUAACCCAACAGAGACGAGAUGUUGAAGAAAAUUAAAUAUUUUUUGUAAUUUGGUAAGACAAACAAAGGCACCCAUUGGAGAAAGGGAAGUGCUAGCAGCCUUUGCCCUAACAUUUGUGUUUGGACCUCUUCACUUUAACAACUAACAGGUAUCAUUUUCUAUACAAAAAAGCAAGAAUUUUAAAGCUUUUGUCUAGGAAUUAACGAUGAGAAAUAUAAAAUAUACAUUAUUAUGUCAUUCAUUAAAAUGAAAAUUUUCAAAUGCAAAAGUUAGUGCAAAAGUGUAUUUCUCUUAGAAAAAUUCAAUCUAACAACCAAAAUUAAAGUUAACAAAAAAAAGUAGAGAACUUAAUUCAUAUUGAAUCUACCCUUAUGAUCGUGCUCCAGAAAAAUUGAGAAGGAUGCAGGGUUUUUGAAUUUGGUAAAGCUUAAGGAUUAAGGUUGCUGUUUUUUUUUUUUUUUUUUUUUUUUUUUUUUUUUUUUGGAGAAAAGUGGAAGAGAAAGAGCCUUUGAAGAUUCCUUUCUGAGUUUUCACAUUGUGGGGAUUUUGUUUCACUUUUACCAUUGUAAGACCAUAGAUAAUGGAUGCUGACAUGGUUGGACAGAUGUCGAAUAGUGGUGUGGUAUGCCCAAUCGGUUUAGGUUGCUGAAAAUAGCAACUUUAACUAAAAAUAGUGCAGGACUUUAAAAGAGGAAGGGGAAAUAAGAGUUUGAGGAAAAAGAGGCAACUUUAAUUCAUCAUUUCAUAGGUUCUUUACGCUCUCCAUUAUUACAUAUUUAUGCUCCUCAUAAAAGAGAAAAUAGAGUUUUAACGAAAAGCCCGCGGUACUGUUCACUUUAAUGAAAAACCACAUUUUUACACUAAAAAGUCAAAUCUGGUACUAUUCAUAUUACUCUUUAUUUUGUUCUUAUCGUUAAAAUUCAAAGUUUUAAAGCAUUUUUCAUUAGUUUUCCUAAGAGAACAACCCUAGCUACUUGGACAUAAAAAAAAAGGCUAGUACGGGCAAGUUGCAAGAGGAGAAGUAGUGGGCUCAAGUAAAUGGGCUUAAUAACUCCCCCCUCUCCUUGAGAAUAGGCCUGACCUUAGGUCAAGAAAUCGAGGUAACGGGCCAAGAUGUCGUCAGCUUCCUCCCAGGUGACAUCUUCAGUGGGUAGGCCAACCCACUUGAUCAACCAUUUUGUCGCAGCUUUAUUUUUUUUUCUUGAAUAUGCCCUUGUCUAAAACUCUUUCUGGUUGCCAGUGUAGAACCCCAGUGGAGUCGAUAGGAGGCAAAACUGACAGUGGAGGAGAAAUACUACCAAUCUUUUGUUUAAGGAGAGACACAUGAAAGACGGGGUGGAUUUUGGAGUCUAAAGGCAAACGAAGCUGAUAUGCUACGAAACUGAUGCGCUUAGUUAUCUGAAAAGGUCCAUAGAACUUGGGUGCCAGCUUGUUUGUUGUUCUAGUAGCCACUGAUUGUUAGCGGUAUGGUUAAAGCUUCAGGUAAACCCAGUCACCAACAUUAAAUUCCCGCUCAGUUCUCUUGUUAUCAUAGACUUGUCUCAUUUUGUUCUCUGCAAGCUGCAAAUUUGUUCUCAUAAGACAGAUUAAUUUGUCCUUAUCCUGUAUUGCAGCAUCAAUUGAGUGUACCGUCGUGGAGCCGAGCAUAUACAUGCAAAGGUGGUUCAAUGUCAUAAACAGCCUGAUAUAGAGACAUUUUGAUGGAAGAUUGGAAGCUUGUAUUAUACCACCAUCUAGCCCAGGGAAUGAGAGAAGACCAAUUGGUGGGUUUGUCUAUUGAGAAACAUCGAAGAAAAUGUUCCAAUGUGCAGUUAAGGACUUUCAUUUGCCUAUUCGUUUGAGGGUGGUAACCUAAACUUAGGCAAAGUUUGUUGCCUUGGAGUUUAAAGAACUCUUGCCAAAAGUUACUAAGAAAAUUGGGUCGCGAUCUGAAACGAUCUAUUUUGGCAUACCAUGGAGUCAGAAAACCUCAUUGCUGAAAGUAUCAGCUACAAAGGCAACUGUGUAUGGGUGCUUUAAUGGGAUAAAGUGGCCAUACUUUGAUAGGCGAUUGAUGACAACUAGGAUCACGGUGUACGCGUUGGAAAAUGGGAGCCCUUUGACAAAAUCAAGAGUGAUGUCCUGUCAUAUGCCAGUGGGGAUGAGCAAGGGAUGCAGUAACCUAGGAGGGUGUUUUGUAUGCAUUAAGCCACAAUUUUUUUUUGUUUCCUUUCGAAUUCCCGGCCAUAAAACUUUUUUGGAGAGUCUUUUGUAUGUUCAAAGGAAGCCCAAGUGACCAUCUUAGAGAGAUGCAUGGAAUUCAUCCAAGAGUUUAGGUUGCCAUUGGGAUGUGAGUAGUGGGACAAAGAUCUGUUGCUUGUAGUGCAACACAUCAUUUAUAAUUGAGAACCCUUUGAUUGAAGUGUUGGGUAUUGGAACUAAAAGAUUCCAAACCUUUUGCACUUCUAGAUCCUAUGCAUAAGACUGUUGCAACUGAGGAAUGCAAUCAAAUAUAGGGGUAGAGAGGCCUAUUAAGAGCAAAAGUUCUUGUUGGCAGGAGAUAGCAUAUGGAGCACUGUUUUGAGAACCCGACCUAUACUCGACCGAGUAGUUGUACCCCAACAAUUUCACCAGCCAUUUUUAAUUUUUUUCACAAAAACUGUAAGUUAUAACUCACGUUUUCCAAUCGAUUUUAAGAACUUUUACAAGAUUCAUUAUAAGCCAAAAUUUGAGUCGUUUUAGUCGCACCACAUGUUUUCUAAAAUUAAUUUAGGACAUCCCAAAUAUUUUUCAACACCUACAAAUUUCUUUGGUGGCUUCACUAUUAGUUUAUACUAUUUUUCUAACUCAUAGUAACAACGAAAAAAUUUCUCAGCAUGACCAAAAUGAUUGAUGGUGCAUCAGAGACUACUUUUAUCGAUUUCAAAUUUGAAGGACUAAAGUAAGGAGUUAUGCCAGAAAGUGGCCCUCUACCACAGUGGUGGAGAGGAGUAUUGGCCUUACACUACGACAGAGCUUCGAACCAUGACGGCUCCCUAAUCUAACAUCUAAUUAAAAAAUCUAUUGUUUGACGAAGAAAAAAAAGUAAGGAGUUAUGUCAAUUUCAAAAUCCGUUUUGGCCCCUUUUUAACAUGGAUGGAGGGUUUCAAAUUCCUUGUUACUACCUUUUAGGGGUUUUAUUAAAUUUUAUGAAUUUUUUUGUUGGUAUAUUUGAGCGUGUCUUUAAAAUGAUUAAAAUUGUUUUAAUAUAAUAAAAUAAAAAGUGUUUAUGACAACAUUUUGACCAAAAAAAGGACUUUAUGGAGAGGUCUAUGAGCAAAAUGCAACUCUUACUACCUAUUUGUACUAUAAUUUGUACCACUAAUAAAGAUGAGACUCACAUGCGUUGGCGAGCCUUACCUCUAUUAGAGAUAUAGUAGAAAUAUAUGGUAAAUGUAGCAUUACUCGUCUAUGAGUGUUUUCAACGGAGUACAAUUCUCUGUCAUCCUAUUCCUAGUGUGGUUUAGUCCAUACUAAGUGUAUGGAUUCUAACAAACGAUCAAUUAAAACAUGAAAUCUAAUAUGGACAUUUAAUUAAAUGUUUAUUAAUAUUUACGGUGCGGUUCGGUUUCGGUGUAGUUUUCAAAAGCCAAAACCGAAACCAAACCGUUUUCUAUGUUGCGGUUCGGUUUCAAAACCGAAACCGUUUCAAAACCGCAAAACCAAACCAUUCGGUGCGGUUUGAUUUGGUUCGUGUUUUGGUUUCGGUUUUCGGUUCUAAGUGCCAAUCCCUAGGAGAGCGUGUCCCUUUUUUUUGAAAAAUAUGGAUCAUUUCCCUUAAGCUCCUCCUACACACACACACACACACACACACACACACACACACACAUAUAUAUAUUAAAAUGAUAACCUUUCUUGGAUAGAACUGAGCAUAUAAACAUGCAAAGGUAAUGUUAGAGAGACCAAAGUUUUAAACAAAAUAAUGUGUUACCAAUAAAAAAUAAGCACGUUAAUCAACGCUAAAGUAAUAAUUCAAUUAUCAAUAAGCACAUCAUUUGGUUUGUAAAUUUGAUUUAAAAAAUUUGGUCUCCCUAACAUUAUCCAACCUGCAAACAAGUUUAAUUAUCUUAGACAAGCAACAUUAUUUACAUAUUUACUUUCAGGCAAUUACAAAUUUGACGUCGAAAAGAAGAUUUAAGGAAAAUGGUUUUCUUAUUAAUUAGGAUUUUUACAAUGCGUGUCGCAUUCUUUACCUAAAGUUUUUAUGUCUGUCAGAUUGGUUAUGAAAGCUCACUGUCAUAUUAAUAAACGGUAUUAUAAGCAGAAAACAUGAGACAAAAAAUAGGAGUUAAACUGUAUGUAAGAGGAAAUCGCACUUAAAUUUCAUUAAUAACAGUAAACUUGACAAGGAUUACCACAAUCAUACGACUACGGACUAUUACACAACAAGAACACAAGGGAAACAAAAGAACUUAAAAACAAAAGUUGACUAACAAACAACCACCCACAUCAGACAACAGAAAGCUAAUUGCCAAGUUAGUUAAUCACCAUAAGUGAUAAUGCUGUCCAUAAUCUUGGCCACCACCUCCUUCGAAUCCCUCAGUUUUUUUAUGCUUUUGUUAAGCUUCUCACGCUUUACUGCCACUGCCGGGGACUCCUCCAACAUCCUCUCAAUUCCCCCACCGUAAGGUCCCAUCAACUCAUUCACAAUCUCAGGCUCCAUCUCUUUGUUCACAAGGUUGAAAACAGACAGCUGCAAGUGCAAUGCCAUGGAGUCCACAAGCCUCCUCAAAACAACCUUCCAAUAAGCAAUCAUUCUCAUUUUAAGGUCAUAAGCUUGAGCUAACACAUGCGGGUACAUCCUCAGAACACCGACUUCCACUUCCCCGAUGCCUUCUAUAGUUAUGAUAGAAGGUUUAUACUCGUCAGUUAAGACUUCAUGAAUGAAUUGAUUUUGACUAGCCAUCAACUUCUUCCAUUCGGAAACAUAAUCAUCAUCACAUGUAUAAUCCGUUAGCUUUUCCAUCUCUACAAGCUCCAGCAUCCACUUGAUUGACCUUUCCUUCAUCUUGGCCAUUAGAUUAUGGCCGGCACGCCUGGCUGACAGCUGCAACUGAUGAUAGUUCUCCGUAUAAUGCAUCAACACAGAAAUAACCACCUCUUCAAUGUAGCUCCACACUUUUUCCUCAAAUGCUAUCGGAAUACUCGAAAUUUCAUUCACUUUUCCUUGCAAGAUAAUGAGGAAAGCAUUGCGUGGAAGGAAGUUCGGAAGUGAAAUACCUUUGGCCUCCUCCAAGAUCUUGAUCCCCUCCAUCAAGAAGUUGCUCUUUGCACCAGUUUCAGCACAUAUGUGAAGUUCAUCCGAGUACUGUUUGAGCAUCUCAACCAAUCUAGCAGUGCAGUGCAUGCGAUUGUCGUCCGCAUAGUCCUCAAAUUCUCCUCUCAAAAAAAUCUUCCUAAGCGAUUCCUUAGCCAAGCCAAUGAUUUGCAUAAAGGCUGUCAUUGCCUCGGCAACAGAUGAAAGACUCUUUGGCAUUUUGUUCAGCUCCAUAAUGCAGAAGUUCAGCCUGUCAUUGAUCUUCUUCACUAUAUCGGGUAUAUUUCUUGCUAUGCUGUUUGCUUGAAUUUGGACCAGCUUCUGUGCUAAAACUGGAAUACCGACAAUGGACUUGUCAAUCUUCGAAAGCAGGGGAUGGGUUUGAAAUAGUUCAUGAGCCAUCGCCGCUGCCUCCUCAUAAGUUUCGUCACCAAUCCUGUUCCUUACACAGACAUAACCAAGACCAAUGUUUACAUCAUCUCCAGUGACCUUCUCAAGUAGUCCUUCCGGUGCCUUGUCCACUUUCGUAACCACAGCGAGCGUCCUCUCACCAGUUUUAUCUACACUUUGUGACAUCCGAAUUGACUCACACGUAGUAAAAUCCACCGUAGCAGACAACACAUUCAGAAUAAUACUUUCUUCCGGCUUAAUAUACUCCAUGAUCAUAUCUUUGAUCUGAUCAUAAAUAUUUUCAGGUUGGCCAUGGACCGGAACCCUUGUGAUUCCCGGAAGAUCAACCAUAGUCAGAUCCGGAACCCCAUUCUUCUUCACCAACAAAGUAAGUGGCGUGUUCGAAAUUCCCUUACCUCCUCCCGCAAUAGAAAUAGUAGCUUUCACAAUGUCUUUGGCGAUAUUGUCUUCAUCAGUACGAUCAACUCUGCCAUUGUACUCCAGGGAAAGUUCAGGCUGAGGACUCGAGUGGUGUUCCAGCCUCAUAAUAAGAGGCACUCUCGUGCAGAUGCCUUGGCCCCGAGGGAGGCUGAUGCCGGCCAAGGAUUCGAGCACGCUGGACUUCCCCGAUGACUGGUCUCCGACCACCACAAUCGUUGGCAGCUGAAUGCCUUCAUCCAUCACCAUCAAGCUGCGUAACUUGUCUACCGCAUCCAGAAGAGGGCGGAUCUUGUCGUUGUAGGAUGACACAAUGGGUGCGCAUUUGAGAGGUACUGCGUCUAGUUCUGCCUGAACCAUGGCGAGGGAGCCUUCACCGUUUAAAUCUGUGCAACUCGAUUCCAUUUGCCUUGGUCCUUCCGUUUCUGAAUUAUAGCAAGUGAAAAUAAUGGUGAAAAUUCUAGAGAGAAACCGAGAUAAUUUCAAGCUUAAUUAGCUAAAGAAUUGAGGUUCUCUGGCAGUUUACCCUCCAGUUUAUAACAUUUUUUUACUAAGAAUGUUUUCAGGUAAGGGAAAACACCACUUUCGUGAUCCAGUAGGAAACGGAGCCUUUCUUUCAACCGCUGCAUUUCCACAAACUCAAGAGACUCUAAUACCCGAAAAGGCAAGUUACGCUCUCCUUAAAACUCAGCACCAAUUCGAAGAUGGAGUAAAAUGUUCUGUAUUGAGUUUGUGACUUAGUGGAGUAAAAUGUCCUAUUUAUAGUGAUGCAGUACAAGACUCUCAUGCAUGUAUUGGAAUCUACCAAGAGUUGGAACCAUCAAAUAUAUUUAAUGGAGUUUUAGAGCAACACAACUAAUUAAGUAGUCAUUUAAGACCAUUUUAAAUAUUUUGGGUAGAGCAAAAGUCCAAUUCGGACUAGAGUUUCAUUGUGUUGUAUUCCUUAUAAAUAUAUGUACUAAUUGUAUUCCUUAAAUGACUACUUAAUUAGUUGUGUUGCUCUAAAACUCCAUUAAAUAUAUUUGAUGGUUCCAACUCUUGGUAGAUUCCAAUACAUGCAUGAGAGUCUUGAUUACUACAUCAUUUAGCUACUGCUAUGUGUCAUUCUUAGCCUUCAAGCAGCUUAACUGACUCUCAGUCAACAAUAACAACACAUCCAACAGCUUAAGGAUUGCUGUUUUUAGUGGAGAAAUGUGGAAGAGAAAGAGCCUUUGAAGAUUCCUUUAUGAGUUUGCACAUUGUGGGAGAUUUUGUUUCACUUUUACCAUUGUCAGGCCAUAAUCAUGGAUGUUGACAUGGUUGGACAGAUGUCGAAUGAUGGUGUCAUUGGGCCCCCACCAUCAAAGAAAAAGCAGUCCCCAUGGGGCAUCUAAGCGGAAAGAGAAUCCAUUAUAGUAUAAAGAUUUAGCAUUCACACUCAUAGCUUCGACAUCAAUCAUUUUCUUCCUUGCCGAUGUUCUUUAUAUUUUGCUUUCUUUAUUUCUUGAUAAGUUGUUUCUGGAUGAUAUUUUUUUAGAAUCUCUUGGAUGUCGUAUGCGUGCUACGUCACUCGUUUGUAUCAAAACACGCAUAAACAUUAUUUCUUUCAAUCGAGAUUUAAAAUUAAAAGUCUACAUACACUUUUUUGUUGUAAUUUGACUGAUGGACCAUAAUGUUGGAUUGUGAACUACCUUAGUACAUAUGUGUAGAAGUGUGGCAGGUGACGUAAGCAUAAAUAAUCAUUUUAACAUGCAUGUUAGCAAAAUGUUAAAUUGUGUUUAAUCAUAUUAAAUUAAUUUAUGUAUUGGUUUUGUUCAGGUAUAAUAAAAUUAAAAACACAUGUAUAAACUUAGUGUAAGUUUUAGGAUUCUCACCUUUAGAUUUCAUAGGUGGACAAAUUCAAUGUUGUUAAAGAUCCCAAGUGUUAGCCCUCAACUAGUGUCUACACGAAUAAAUAUCUGGCUAGUGAAGCAAAAAAACGACAAUUUGCUAGAACUUUAUCCAUCAGGUAGGUGUUGCCAUAAAGGGAUUUGGUAUGGUGUUUUGUUUUUCAAUUCUCUAAAUUGGAAAACCUAUUUCUUUUCUCUCUAAUAUCUAUUUGCGAUUAUUGAAUUCUCACACUAUGUUACAUAGACCCCUUAGGCUUAUAAAAAGAACAAUCUGUAAUUAAGCCAAUUGUGUGUUGCACGCCCUAGGGAAAUUUUUUAGAAACUUUUGGGUUCACUAGUCUGUAUCACGUCACUCGCUUGUCUCAAGAAGAGAUCCUUUCACAUCACCAGUUUACCACACUAAAAUUUUGAAUUUAUUAGAUGGAUAAUACAAUUUGUUUAAUAAAUGACCAACUUUACAAAUAUUUUUGUGAAGUGAUUUCACACAUAUUUUUUAGCUUUUACACACCCAUGUUUAAUUUUAGAUGUUGAUUCCGUUUGAUUUAUUUAAUCUGGUGGCCAUAAAUAAAGAGAGGUACGUGGAAAACUAAAAAUGGUGUGUGAAAAUCCUUGACACUACUAAGCAUGAAUUUUAGUAAGAUGAAAAAAGACCUUCGCUUGAUACCCGUGGGAGGACGUGACAUGACUUCCUUUAUUGAAGGAUGAGGAAUGCUAAUGUGACUUUCAAAAGUAGGACUUUCUAAUGACUCUCUGCCACCUCAUAGCUAGUUUAAUGUCAAUUCAUUCACGUGCCAACAUUAUAACACAAAUGCUAGGAAGGCUACAUUUAUAGACAAAAUUUGUAUACUAAAUGACAUGAAAGUUGAUGAUUAUAUUAUUAUUUAAGCGUUGAUAAACGUGCUCAUUUUCUAUUGGUAACAAGUCAUUUAGUUUUCAAAUUUUGUCUACAAAUUUAGUCUCCAUAGCAUUACCUGCAUUAUAAAGUAUUGUGCCAAAUAUAUGAGCUGACAAAGAGUCCAUAGAGAGUCUCAAUUUUGAGUCUCAUUAGCAUUUAUCUUCAAGAAUUUAUCCACAUUCUCCUCACGUAAUAAUUUCACCAAAAAUGUUUUCUAAAUGCUCACUUAUCAAGAUUAAACCCCCGUUUGGUAUUUUAUUUUUUGGGUAAAAGACUGUUUACUACCCUCAUGUUUCGUGGUUUUCAACAUUUAGUACAUCAUGUUUUUUUCGUCUCAGAGUCAUACCUAAAGUGUAAAUUUUGGGACAGUCUCAUACAUCCGUUAGUCAAACUGUUAAGUUUUUCGUUAACUGUGACGUGGCGCACUGACUGGGCGCCACGUGUCAUCCACGUUUUUUUUUUUUCUUUUUCUUUUUUCUUUCUUUUCUUUUCUUCUUCUUCCUUCUUCUUCUUCUUCCUCCGACUGCAACUUUUUUUUUUUUUUUUGCUUCUUCCUUUUCCUUCUUCCUUCCUUCCUCCUUCCUUUCCCUUUCUUCCCCUUCUUCCUUCUUCUUCCUUCUUCUUCCUCCGAAAUCUGGGGAAUGUUUUUUUUUUUCUUUCUUCUUCUUCCUCCUUCCUUCCCCUUCUUCCUUCUUCUUCUUUCUCCUUCUUCUUCUUCUUCUUCUUCCUCCGAAAUCUGGGGAAGUUUGUUUUUUUUUUUCUUUCUUUCUUCUUCUUCCUCCUUCUUCUUCUUCUUCUUCUUCCUCAAAAAAAAAAAAAAAAAAACACUUUUAUCUUUUCUUCCUCUUCUUCUUCUUCUUCUUCUUCUUUCUCUUUCCUCCUUCCUUCUUCUCCUUCUUCUUCUUCUUCUUCUUCUUCCUCCGAAUCUGCCCAGAUUCAAUUUUUUUUUUCUUCCUCCUUCUUCUCCUUCUUCUUCUUCUUCCUCCGAAUUUGGGGGAAGAUGAAAGUGUUUUUUUUUUUUUGAGGAAGAAGAAGAAGAAGAAGAAGAAAGAAAGAAAAAAAAAAAAAACAUUCCCCAGAUUUCGGAGGAAGAAGAAGGAAGAAGAAGGAAGAAGGGGAAGAAAGGGAAAGGAAGGAGGAAGGAAGGAAGAAGCAAAAGGAAGAAGCAAAAAAAAAAAAAAAAAAACAAAAACAGAAAGUUGCAGUCGGAGGAAGAAGAAGAAGAAGGAAGAAGAAGAAAAGAAAAGAAAAAAAAAAGAAAAAAAAAAACGUGGAUGACACGUGGCGCCCAAUCAGUGCGCCACGUCACAGUUAACGAAAAACUUAACAGUUUGACUAACGGAUGUAUGAGACUGUCCCAAAAUUUACACUUUAGGUAUGACUCUGAGACGAAAAAAACUUGAUGUACUAAAUGUUGAAAACCACGAAACAUUAGAGUAGUAAACAGUCUUUUACCCUUAUUUUUUUCAACAAAAGUUGCUUCACUUUAAAGUUAAGCAGUAAGAAUGUGUUUGGUAAAAAUAAAUUAUUUUGCUUAUAUUAAAAGUAAUGCAUGUCCUCCAGACAGCAACUUUUAAAAGCAGCAUGUAGGUAAAGCUGUUUUUAAUAAAAAGCAGAAUUGAGCUUUCAAUGAAUAUUUUUAAUUCCUGUAAUAUGCUCAAUAAUUUUAGAAAAUAACAUUAUUUAUUCUUGUAGGCACAUUUUAUCAUUGGAGAACAAAGUGACCACCACUAUAAACCCUAACCUCUUACACUACCAUUGCCAUGAUCACCACCAUUGUUGCCACCACCACCACACUACAAUUGCGCCACCACCACUACAACCAUACACACCACCGCUACCUUUGCCAUCAUUACCACCACACCGCCGCCGCCGCCGCCACCACCACCAUAAACACAACUGCCACCAUCAAUGUUGUUGCCACCCCUACGACCAAUGUUGCCUCUGCAGCCCAACCACCACCACCAUCCCAACCCUUACCCUUAUCACUGUUGUCGUCGUCACCACCAACAUUGUUACGUCUAUUUUUGUCAUUAUAUACAAUUAUAAAUUAUCAAACGCUUUUACGCCGUUUUUCAUACUCAACACUUUUAAAAAUACAAUUCAUCUAACACUCAACUGCUUUAUUUUGUAGCAGAUUAUUCUUAAAGCACAUCAGAAGCACUUUUUUUUAAAGCACAUCAAUCUCAAAAUGGCCGUAAGAUUAUGAGUUUUUCAAUUGAGAUAAAUAUAUAAUUUAUUUGACCAAAACGAUUUUAAAUUAUUUGUAAUAAGAUCACGCGAAAGAAGAACAUAAACGUUACACAUGAAAUUAAACCAAAGCAAAUGAUUUUCUUGGGUUUUAACACCCAUAUAUUUUUUGUUGGUUUAUCAUUUUCACCGAGCUCCACCUCAUUUAUACUUAAAGAAAUGUAUUAUGUUCCGAUCCAGAAACCAAGCUCCACCUCAUCAAUACUUGGAUAAUUUGAUGCAUUACUUUUGUUUCCUUUCUCAAUUUGGAGGCCCAAACAAGAAACAAAGCUACACUAGACAAAGACAACUGCUGUAUAGUGGGUGUUUUAGAAACUUAAAGGAAAGAAACUCAAAAGCUUCAAUUUGUUUGUCGUGCUCCUUUAACUUCCUCUUUUACUGUUAUACAAGCGAAAACAAGAGAGAUUUAAUGAGUAAAGGGAUACUUUACGCCUUGAUAUACAAGUUUAUUGUCAUGAUCUAGCAAGGUUUCUUCUAAGGAUCUUGGCUUUCUUUGUCUAUAAAGAAGUUGGGUUUUUGGUUGUUUAAUUAAUUUCUACUAGAAUUGCAAGAUAAAAAGGGAUACAAACACUACAAGAAAGCCGGGCUUAUGUGACGACAGAUAUUCGUCAUAGAAAAUAAAAAUGCGUCACAUUUGAUAAUAUGUGACGCCUUUACAGCGUCACUGCGAACGUCACCUAUGAUGCGUCACGGAAAGUAUAAGUGACUAAUUUUAAAAGCGCCACAUAUUUGUAGUAUAUGUGACACUGUUUUCGUCAAUUAAUAGGAGAUUGUGACGGAUUAGGCGUCACAAAAGAAUAAAUUAUGUGACCUAUAUAAUUCGUAAUGUAUGAAAUAGAUAAGUGACACUGAAGGCGUCACAUUUUUCUUCCAUUUGUGGCAUAGCUUGGGUCACUUAUGUCAAAAUAAAAUAUCUAUUUUGAAAAUAUAUGUGACAAACCAAUACAAUUCCCUAUUUAUAAUAUGAUGUUACAAUUCCUUGUUUAUAAAAAAGAAUCAAUUAUGUGACCUAUAUAAUUCGUCACUUAUGAAAUAGAUAACUAACACUGAAAGCGUCACAUUUUUCUUCCAUUUAUGGCACAGCCUGGAUCACUUAUGUCAAAAUAAAAUAUCUAUUUUGGAAAUAUAUGUGACAAACCAAUACAUAUUCCCUGUUUAUAAUCUGAUAUUACAAUUCAUUGUUUAUAAAAAAGAAUAAAUUACAUGACCUAUAUAAUUUGUCACUUAUGAAAUAGAUAAGUGACGCUGAAAGUGUCACAUUUUUCUUCCAUUUGUGGCGUAGCCUGGGUCAUUUAUGUCAAAAUAAAAUACCUAUUUUGGAAAUAUAUGUGAUAGACCAAUACAUAUUCCCUGUUUAUAAAGGAUCAAGGGACAAACAUUUUGACAAACAUAUAUAUAUAUAUAUAUAUAAUAUAUAUAUGUUUUUUUUUUUAAGAUGAUAACAUUUCCUGAAUAAAACUGAGAAGAUAUAUAAACCGGCAAGCAAGUUUAUUUAUCUUAAGAAAGUAACAGUAUUUCCAUAUUCACUUUCAGGUUAUUACAACUUUGACGUCGAAAAAAUAAGAACAUUUAGGGAAGAUGUUUUUCUCAUAAGUUAGGGUUUCUUCAAUGUUUGUCGGUUUCUUUACCUAAGUAAGUUUUUAUCUGUCAAAUUAGUUACGAAGGCUUACUGUCAAAUUGAAUGAAAGGUAAUGAAAGCAGAAAAUAGAAAACAAAAUAUCGGAGUUGACUAUUGGUAGGAUGAAUUUGAGUUAAAUUUCUUUGAAAACUUUAAAAUUGACAAGGAUUACCAAAACUAUACAAUUACCACAUAACAAGAACACAAAGGAAACUACGAGCUUGUUUGGUAUCCUAUUUGAAAAUUAUUGUCAUUUCUCAAAACAUUUCUUGAAAACAAUUUUCUUUAAGACUAAAAAACUUGACUGGUUUGCGAUUUACAAUUUUUAAAUCUUACAACUAAAAUUAGGCAAAGAGAUCUAAAAAGAGGGGAUCGUAGGAGAGGGAGAAAGAGGAGAGAAGAGGAAAGAAAGCAAGAGAUGAUUGAAGAAAAGAGAAAGAAGAGAGAGAAUCGAACAAAAGAGAGAGGAAGAGGAGUGAGAGAAAGAACAUAGAGAAUGAAAAGAGCAGAUUGAAAGAGAGACGAAACAUGUAAAAAAAUAAAAAUAAAGAGGAGAGAGAGAGAGAAGAAAAGAGAGAGAUUUGGAGUGAGAGGGGAGAAGGGAGAGAAGAAAAAAAAGUGUGAGUUUAAGUUUAAAAACUCUAAAAACUCACUUUUUAUGUUUUUAGAUAAUAGACUAUAUUUUUGAGUUAGUCUUGAGUUUAGUUUUUUAAGUAGUCUUACCAAAGACUAAAACUUGAAAAUUGUUUUUGAGUUUAAAAAAUUGGAUUCAAGGAAAGUAUCAAACAGACGCUAAAAAACUUGAAACAAAAGUUUACAAACAAACAACCAACGACAUAAGGAAAACAGACUGCAUACUUUUAUUUACACCAUUUUGUAGUACCCUCAAAACUAAUUGGCAAGUUAUUUAAUUACCAUAAGUGAUAAUGCUGUCCAUAAUCUUGGCCACUACCUCCUUAGAAUCCCUAAGCUUUUUUAUGCUUUUGUUAAGCUUCUCACGCUUUACUGCCAUUGCCGGCGACUCCUCCAACAUCCUCUCGAUUCCCCCAUCGUAAUGUCCCAUCAACUCAUUCAUAAUCUCAGCUUCCAUCUCUUUGUUCACAAGGUUAAAAACAGACAGCUGCAAGUGCAAUGCCAUGAAGUCCACAAACCUCCUCAAAACAACCUUCCAAUAGGCAGUCAUUCUCAUUUUAAGGUCAUAAGCUUGAGCUAAAACAUGCGGUUACUUCCUCAGAACACCGACUUCAACUUCCCCGAUGCCUUCUAUAGCUAUGAUAGAAGGUUUAUUCUCGUCAGUUAAGACUCCAUGAAUGAAAACAUUUUGACUAGCCAUCAACUUGUUCCAUUCGGAAACAUAAUCAGCAUUGCAUGUAUAAUCUGUCAGCUUUUCCAUCUCUACAAGCUCCAGCAUCCACUUUGACACGCCCUGAUCCGGAUGUCCUGGAGACAUCGGGAUAGUCACGUGCUGGCCGACACCCGAGGGGUGACGAAAGCCAUUUAAAAGGCAUAAGAACGAGAAAUAUGAAUUUAAUAUAACAUUUAAUAGGCAUUUAAGGAACGUGUUCAGAGCAUAUAACUAAUUAGAAUACUAGGAAAAAAAUGAUAUAAAAAUUGAAUAAACAAAAGGAGUGGGUCCUACACCGAGAGGACUCGAAGAUGCCAAUGUAGAAGUGUCUUGACGCCGGGAUUGUAUGCCUCGAUUCUAAGCCCUGAAGGGGGCGCAAAACAAAGGUGAGUGGACCAGUUUGAUAUACAUAUAAUAAAACAGUUAUCAACAUACUAACCCCCUGAUUUUUAUGAAAACACAUAUAUGUAUCAUGAUAAACAUAAGUUUUCCGAAACCUAGAAUGUCGUGCAAUAUCUCAAAUCAUAACUCGCAAAACAUAAUAAACACUAGUGUCAAAUGUCCACAUAUAUCCAUCCAGGCCCUAUGUCAUCUCCCCAUCCCUGAGCAUACAGUCAAAGAAAAUAUGACUUCAGGCCCUAUGCUAGCUCCACUGUCCCUGUUCUAAAUAGUCAGAGGGAAAUACACUCCAGGCCCUAUGCCAACUCCACCGUCGCCCGGGAUGGACCGAAAUCUAUCCCUACAUCCCGUAGCGGAAAUUGGGACAGCUAGGUAAUACAGAAUCAUCGCACAUAUAUUUAUUCAAAAGUAACAUCAUAUAUCAUUCUUAUAAACUCAUGCUUUUUAUGCGUGCAAUUCUACUAAUAAAGCAUGUAUUUUAGAAGGGGUCCACUCACAGUACUUCACCGUCGAAAGCCGCGCUGCUAACAAAGAUAGAAACGCCACAAUAAUUGCCCCUAAGCACAUAAACGUUCCAAUUAAUAAAUCUUUAUUAAAACAAUUGAAUUUGAGAAAACGGACGUCGAAAACGGAUUCAAGACGUUGAAUUACCUUAAGAAGGGUCCUGGAUAAAUUUCGUAAACGUCAAUAGAAUAUUCCACAUCAAGAGUUUGGGCCGGCUAGGGUUUAAGGGUUUAGUGCUUAAGGCCCUAGGUUAAAAAGGUUUGGGUUAGACUUUUAAAAAGGUUAGGCUUAGGUUAAAUAGGUUUAGGGCUUAGGAAGUUGGGUUGGGUCCUUAAGGGUUUUGGGUUUCUAGGUUAAAGGGUUAGGAAAUUGGGUUGAUAAAAAGGGCCUAGGGUAAAUAAUUGGGUUUGGGCUUAAAAGGGUCACGGAUUGGGCUGGAGACCCGUGGGUUUUGGGCUGGUUUCAAAGGACUUGGGUCGAGUUGAUUCGUUUUCAGGCCAAUGAAAUGGUCGAUUUCUGGGUAUCACUUCGAACGCCCAUAACUUCUUCGUUACUCAUCCAAAAUAAGUAAUCCAAACAUGAAAGUUGUAGUACUCGACGAGAUGAAGAGAUUGAUACCCUGCACUCCGCCAAACUCUCCGUGGUUUGGCCGGAAAACACCUCGAAAGGGGCGGUGCUCGUCGGAAAACUGGGUUUUUUGGCCGAAUGUUUGGGUAAUUUUCAAAGCUUUGUAACUUCUUCGUUUCUUAACCACAUUGAGUGAUUCAAAAUCUAAAAUGUAGUUAGGAAUGUGGAGAAGAGGUUCAUACCAAGUGAGGACCGAGUGGUUACCGGAGUUCACCGAAAAACGACCUGAAAAAUCAUAGCAAAAGACAGCAUAGUGAAAGAGGCUUGAGUUGUAGUGCUAGUUGCUGGAGUCGAAGAAGGGGUUGUGGUAGUGAGAGUAGAAAGAAACGGAGCGGAGGGAGUUGGGAAAGAUUGUGAGGUCGGUUUUGAGGUGGCAUUGGAGAAACUAGUGGAGAAACCAAAAGAGGAUUGCAAAGCGGAGGAAGCCAGAGUUCCGAAGGAAGAGAAUCUGGAAACGGUUAUUGAUGGGGGAGCAGCGGUGGUGGGAGCAGAGGUUGUGGGUUUCAAAAGAGAGGAGGAUGUUGGUAAUGUGAAAGCUGAAAAGGAAGUGGAGAAGCUUUGGAACCAUUGGGUGGUUAGAGCUAUAGAGGAUGACGGUUGGGACGAGGAAGUUGUGCCAGACAGCGGCGAGGGUACGCUGGGUGCAUAGGACGUUGUGCCAAACAAGUGCGAAGCGGAAGUUGAGGGGUUCCAAACAGGGGUGUGGGUGCGCUGGGUGCAAAUGAGGUUGCUCUGAAUGGGGAUGAAGUGGCGAAAGAAGGAGCGCCGAAUAGAAGGGACCAUUGGGUGGUUUGACCUAUAGAGGAUGAAGGUUGGGACGAGGAACUUGUACCAAACAGCGGCGAGGGAGCGCUGGGUGCAUAGGACGUUGUGCUAGACAACUGCGAAGCCAAAGUGGAGGAGGUUCCAAACAGGGGUGUGGGUGCGCUGAGUGCAAAUGAGGUUGCUUCGAAUGGGGAUGAAGUGGCGGAAGAAUGAGCUCUGAAUAGAGGGGACCAUUGGGUGGUUGGAGCUACAAAGGAUGAAGGUUGGGACGAGGAAGUUGUGCCAGACAGCGGCGAGGGUGCGCUGGGUGCAUAGGACGUUGUGCCAAACAACUGCGAAGCAGAAGUGGAGGGGGUUCCAAACAGGGGUGUGGGUGCGCUGGGUGCAAAUGAGGUUGCUCUGAAUGGGGAUGAAGUGGCGGAAGAAUGAGCUCCGAAUAGAAGGGACCAUUGGGUGGUUGGAGCUACAGAGGAUGAAGGUUGGGAUGAGGAACAUGUGCCAAACAACGGUGAGGGAGCGCUGGGUGCAAAUGAGGUUGCUCCGAAUGAGGAUGAAGUGGCAGAAGAAGAAGCUUCGAAUAGAGGGGAGACGGAUGCGGUGAAGGUGGUGGCAGGUGCGGAGGAUAUGAAUGGGGAGGUGCAAGAGCCGGAACAGAAUAAGGAAGGAGGGUUGGAGAAAAAGAAAUGGAAGUGGAUUGGGCGGAAGAGGAAGAAAAGGAAAAGCCAGUGGUGGACGUGGUGGCAGGUGUGGAGGAUAUGAAUGAGGAUGUGGAAGAGCCGGAAAAGAAGAAGAAAUGAGGGUUGGAGAAAGAGAAAGGGGAAGUGGAUUGAGCGGAAGAGGAAGAGAAGGAGAAGCCGGUAGUAGACGUGGUGGCAGGUAUGGAGGAUAUGAAUGGGGAGGUGGAAGAGCCGGAACAAAAGAAGGAAGUAGGGUUGGAGAAAGAGAAAGGGGGGUGGAAAAGGAAGAGAAGGAGAAGCCGGUGGUGGACGUGGUGGCAGGUGCGGAAGAUAUGAAUGGGGAAGUGGAAGAGCCGACUGAGAAGGAAGGAGGGUUGGAGAAAGAGAAAUGGGAAGUGGAUUGGGCGGAAGAGGAAAAUGCCGAGGAUUCAAAUAAAAAGCUCGACAUUGUUUUCUCUCUUCUGCUGCUGCUGCUGCUCUAUGUUAUUGAGAGGUUUUUCAAAUUUUGGGGUUUUUGGUUAACACAUUUCAAAGCCUUCUCUUUUCAUUUUCUGGUUGUCAAUGGCUUCAUCCGCCUAAGUUUUCACAUUCUGGAGAUUUUGUUUCACUUUUACCAUUGUAAGACUAUAGAUCAUAGAUGCUGACAUGGUUGGACAGAUGUCGAAUAAUGGUGUCGUUGCGGCCCCCACCGUCAAAGAAAAAGCAGUCCCCAUGGGCAUUCAAGCUGAAAGAGAACUCAUAAUUGUAUAAAGGUUUUGCAUCACAUUCAUAACUCGAUCCGAAAACUUCACAUCUCAGAUUUUCGAUCUGUAACUUCCAAAGAUUUACAUUAUGCUUCUAAAAUAAUAUACUAAAAUAUUACCAUGAUUCGACAGUCGGAUCUUCGCCAAUCAAAAUUCAAGUGGCAGUCAACAUUUUAUUUUGCGAACUUACUAAUCCAAUUCAGGAAGAUUCAUACGUCAAAUUCCCAAUCCGUAAGUUUCUAUGGUCCUCAAAUAUUACGUACUAUAAUGUAUUAAAGUUUUGUGCCAAUCCAACCAUCAGAUCAUCGAUUGCUAUAAUGUUAAAGAGGCAUACCUUAGAGAAAUUAUACCCAAACGAUGGAAUUUCAUUAAUCGGAUGUCAAAUAUGGAAUCAAGGCAUCCAAAUUAGCCUAGUAAGGUCAGGUGGGGUAUUAGCCUAGCGCUGCCGCACACGGCAACUGACCACCCCAACUCGUCGGAAAAUUCAACUAAUUUCAAAAAUUCUCAAAUUUUACCAGAAUGAAGAUCUCAAUUAGUAGAGCAAGUUUUAUACCUAUGGCCACACCUUAAAUCGCCACAAACCUACCGGAACCCUAGAAAUGGGUGGGUUUCAAUUCACCCUCUCCGAUGCUUUGACGUGCCAACCAAAGCUUGGGACUUGUUCCUGGGUUCAAGAGGUGCUGAAAUAUGGUAGUGGUUGACGAAAGAGCUCGCAGAAAUAGCGGAUUCCACUGUCGUGGCUUCGGAACACCCACCAUAGGGUUUGAAUGGAAAAGGAAGAGAUGAGGCCGAAGUGAUGAAUGGUGGGGGUGGAUGGUCACGAUUCACCAGAAAAAUGGCUGAAAUCACGACGGAAAAGGUGCAAGAAGUCUGGUCAUGAACCCGGUAAAAAAGGAUAUGGUGCUCCUCCACUCAAUAGCAAUUAAAUUGCUACCUCGAAAUAUUGAUCAUUUAAAUACUUGAUUGCAAUACUUAUCUGUCAAUCAUGUAUUAUGCUUAAAAUCUCUAUAUAACAUCUCAAAUGGUGCCAAACCAAAAAUUGAAAUAGUAAUCGUAGUUACAUGCAACCUUAACAAAGAUGAGUGUCUAUUACAAUCAUGCUAAAACUAUAGAACGGAUAAAUGCAACAUGUUCACAAAUGUCUGGAUAGUUCAUUCGAACUAGUAGUUAAUCUGAGGGUGAAAUGUGGUAAUACAUAAUAACUUUGUAACCAUGGUUUUCAAGAAGACUCCCAAAACUUGGAAGUGAUACACGCAUCAUGAUGAGGUACAACAAUGACAUGCACAUUAGGCAUCCAAACAUUAUAAUUCAUAUAUGUCACAACAAGUAGAUUCAUUAUGAAAAUUUCUCUCGAAUUUAGUGAAACACUGUGUCGAGAAGGCUAAAAGAACAAUCAAGAAUUUGAGAAUUAAAAUAAGUCCAUCAAUCUAGAAUACAAAGUAACUAGAUUAAUGCAUAACAUCUCACUACAAUGGUAGCUUCUAGAAUAUUCAAUCACCAACGGUAACGAUUCGCUUAGCAGAGUUUGUUGAGUGAUUGAGAAAUUAAUGGUCACAACUGCAAUUCCAAUGUCAAUGGUUCUUCUAGACAGUUUAUCAACUUCAAAAUAAUGCGAAGUGCAAUAGGGUAGGUAGUACCCAAGGUUGACUGGAAUGCCUUCUAACACAAAAGGUGAAUAUGAAAUCACAAUCAAAGUAGAUGUUGAUCAAAAUGUCAGAAAAUCUGAAAAAUUCAAGAAUGAGUAAUUUUCUCAAGUGAUCAAAAUGUAUUCCCUAUGGACCAAUGGAAAGUAAGCUAACUUGUCAAGUCGGCGAUAAUCACCGAAACAUCAUUGUAAUAUCCACAUAUACAAGAUACCUCAUACCAGGAGCUUAUGGUGAUAUUUCUCAUCUCCAUUUGGAUAUAGAAAGUGAAUAUAACCACUCGAACGAUUUCUUGAUAAUUUGUAAGUAACGUCAACCCAAUGCUCAUGAAUUCCAACUAAAAUGAAAUAGGACAGACUAAAAGCAUUUCGGGAGUAGAUAAUGUCUUUUGAUGUGGCAAACAGUAAUUACGUUUCCACAACGAGGAUGAUACACGAUUGUGUAAUUGUAGAUGUUAAUUUGGUUCCUCUAUCACCAUUGUCAGAAAUCUAUUUCUUUCCAAAUGGAUAUGUACUUGCGAGGUCUAAGAUUGAUAGAGAUUUUGGACACGUUUCUCUAUAGAGAAGUGUCAUUCAGUUUUUAAGUAAGAUGGUAACUAUUGACUCUAAGUUAUGAAUAAGAUGGUUCAUUCCAAACGGUUCUACACGUUGGGAAAUAUAAGCGAUUCUCCGUCAUGCUGCCUCUGUACAGCCAAAACAUCCAAAGAACACAUCAUCAUGGAUUUUCAAAAUAAUUAUUAUCAUCGAAAGGUGUAAAACGAAGGUAAGAUGAGACAACAAUUUAGUUGUCAGAAACUUUAUUCAUAAUCAACAUCAUAACUAAAUUAACUUUCCUCGAUCGUAAAUGAGGAAAAAACACUACAGCCGAAGGAUCGCUAACAAAUUGUCGAUAAAAUCGACAUGACCAAAGAUAUCUCGAACGUCACUACACUUCGUGUGAAUUUCAACUUUCUUCCACUAAACCCUUUUUGGAAAAGAAAAGAUUAUCGUUUACGAAGAUCACGUCUCCCAAGAAAAGUACCAAUUUAAUCAAAGUUAAUAGUUGAGCACUUUGGUAUAAAGCUGACUAUUGAUAUUUAGAGAAUUUGGUCUCACUGUCAAGGUAGAUGAAAAAGUCAUCGAUAAGACCACUAUGAAUACGUUAGGCUAUGGGAGAAAACUCAGGUUACAAAGGUUGGUCAGCUCGACCAUCAACUCGAAAUAGGGGCUAACGGUUUUUGGUCGUCACGUGAUUGAGUCGCUAAAGUCUAGGUACAACCCUAAGGUUCAACCUUUCGCCUUUACGAAUAGGUUUGAGAUUCUCUAGAUAAAGUGUUUGGUUAGAUACAGGGUCGGGCGUGUCAGUUUGGUAUUAGAGCGUGGUUUGUUCAUAGCAUACUUAGGAUCUUCUAUUAUUGUAGUAGUGUGUCGAUCAUGACGUCAUUUGGAUGUCACGACUUCCUGAUUUGUUGUCUUUCGGCACAGUUAUGCAACCCUCAUUCUGCAUGAAUAGUCACAUCUUAUGGAAGAAAAAGAAAAUUCGUGUUGGGAUUUUGCCUCAGUGUUGACGAAAUGGAUUGUUGAACAACUUUCAACAUCGAACUGAUACUCUAUAGCAUGCGUUCCCUAAGAAUUGCGAGUAGAGUUGGUGUUUACAUUGAAGUGACUAUCUAAGCCGAAGAAACUAUCAUAGACACUUAAGAGCAAGUCUUGUAGAAUGACUGUAACCUCCUAGUUGUUUUAACCAUGUUUUCCACUUAGGUAACCAAAACCUCUUCGUCUAGCCACAUUUUCGAUCACUUCCACAAGUGGACAAUAGAAUCGAAGUACAAGUUAACUUCUCAUUAUUAGAGUGAAGUAGCGUAUCGAGAAAGCUACAAAGACUUAUUAGCACGUGUCUACCCUGGUGUUCGGUAGAUAUCAGGGUCGGGCGUGUCAGCGAGUAUCUUUGACAUAAUUCAAAGACGUAGUAACUAAAGUAUGCUUAAUAGACCUCCAAGAAAUUGUGGUUCCACCAACAAUACCCAUUUAGGAUCUUGCCAUGUACGGAUCGAAUAAGUACAUAGCGUCAACAUAACCAACAAAAGCAACUCGAAAACUAGGGGGAGGGGGGACGGUUGCACUCAAAGUUGAGUAAGGAUAGGACAAACACAAGUCCACAACACUAUUAAGAUAACAUAGAGUUUUUUUAACACAUUUCAAUGUCUGCAUGUUGGCACAUGAUUGUGUUAUGCUAAGAGAUUUAUAAUGCAGGAGAUGUUAGGUCUUGUACACUGAGAUAAGUACAACAAAGCACCAAUUGCACUUAAGUAUGGAACCUCAGGUUCUAAAACUUCUUCAUCAUCUAUCUUUGGACGGUAUAGGUCUUAUUGUGCAUCAAGCGUACAGAUGACAAUGAGAGUACUCAAAGUCCACGCUUUAUCAUUAAAGCAUUGUAACAUCGUCUUGGUGUAGUUUGACUAGUUGACCAUGACUAAUGGACCAUAAUGUUGGAUUGUGAACUACCUUAGUAUAUAUGUGCAGAAGUGUGGAGGUUGGCAUAAACAUAAAUAAUCAUUUUAACAUGCAUGUUUGCGAAAUGCUGGAUUCCAUUUAAUCAUAUUAAAUUAAUUUAUGUAUUGGUUAUGUUCAUGUAUAAUAAAAUUAAGAACACAUGUAUAAACUUAGAGUACGUUUUAGAAUUCUAACCUUUAGAUUUCAUAGGUGGACGAAUUCAAUGUUGUUGAGGCUACUAAGUGUUAGCCGUCUACUAGUAUCUACACAAAUAAAUCUUCGGCUAGUGAAGCAAGAAGACAACGAUCUGCUAGAACUUUAUCUAUUAGGUAGGUGCUGCGGCAGAGGUACAAUGCAUUGUUAUGAAGUUGGUCUAUAUUGUCACGCCUCGCCCCGAAAUAUAAAUAUAUUAAAUCUUCGGCUAGCGAAGCAAGAAGACGACGAUCUGCUAGAACUUUAUCUAUCAGGUAGGUGCUGCGGCAGAGUGACAAUGCAUUGUUAUGAAGUUGGUCUAUAUUGUCACGCCCCGCCCCAAAAUAUAAAUAUAUUUCGGGAAUUAAUUAUGGUAGGCCCAACUUAAAAACGUAGUUAAUUUAUUUCCUUUAACCACAUCCCUCUAAGUCAAUAUUACUUACUAUUACAAGCUAUCCAUAUUUUCUUAAAAUGUCAAACAUAUCUUUCAUUUAACAAUUGAAUUCACUAAUAUUAGUUGUCAUUCUCCAAAUAAUUCCCUUCGUCCCACGUAGAAUCUAUAACCAUUAUUCGUUUACCAAGAUAUACAAUUUACUUUCCAAUUUAGAACCAUUUCCUUCUCUUAGAUCAAAUUCCAUCUAAACACUAAUUCUCGAUUAUUUAGUCUCACUUAUUUAUGGCUGCAUCUAACGUCUUGUUAGACUGCCUACGUACCCUAAACAAAGAUCAAGCCAUUCGUAGUUCACAAAUUCAAAUUCAAUUAAACUUUGAUAUUUCUACACAUAAUUAACAAUCACCAACUAGCUUCAAAUAAGUGUAUCACAUUAAAUACUUAUUUAACUUGAAUCCAAAACAUCAAAUUUAGCUUAAAAUACGGCAUCGGUUCCCUAGCCAUGCGUCGUCGCCGUCCUGACUUGCCGAAAAAUUCAACUAUUUCUAAAAAUUCUCAAAAAUUACAAAAAUGAAGAUCUCAAAGAGUAGAGCAAACUUUAUACCUAUGGCCAAGCCCAAUUUGGCCGGGAAACACCUCAAAUUGGCCACGAACUGCCGAAAACUCUUGUUUUGGGUGUUCUUGAUUUGUCUCCAAAACAACUUCGACGCCUCAACCAAUGCAUGGGCUUUGUUCUAGGCCUCAAGAAGAGUAUGAGAGUAGUGGUAAUUGAAUGAAAUCACUUCAAAAUUUGGUGAAUUUUGACACCUACACCGUCGCACCCACCGGUGCGUUUUACCCCAUUUCAAGGUCAAAUUUCAUGAUUUUUGGGGGGUAACAGGGUUAGGGAAGGUCAUUGAGGGUUUUCCAAGUGGUAGUUUAAAUUGAUUUGCUGGAAAAUGGGCUAAAACUCACCAAAAAUAGCAAGGAAAACCGACCGAAUCGAGUCGGGUCCUUUCAGGUCAGGGAUCCCCCGUACCCCUUUUCUCUCAUUUUCCCCCCUUUCUCCUUUCUCCCAUUGGUCAACCUCCCCCUAUUCCUUCCUUCCUUUUCUCCUUUCUAUUCUUUUCUUUCAAUCUCAACCGUCCAUUUCUUUAUUUAUUUUCAUCUCAGCCACACACGUGGCACAACCAUUGGAUCAAAUUUUCUGGAGCCUUCUACCAUAAAAUGAAAUUAUUAAAAUAUCCUUAACUUUAAACGUUAAUAUCUUCUUUGUUAUAACUUCGUUUCAUGAACGGUUUGUGCCUACACAUUCAUGAGAUCGAGCUCUAUUCAAAAAUAUAAAUUGUCACUCUGAAUAGUUUUCGGAUUUUUAAAUAAUAAAUUCCCAAACUUAGAACUUCUUAACCAGUUUAAUUUAAAACUAAACUCGAAUAAAUUAAUAUAAUUUCUUGAAAAAUAAUCUAAAAUCUCAAUCAUACAAAUACAUAAAUUAUAAUAAUUUCCGAAAAUAAAACUUUAAAAUUUUCCAAUUCUACUUUCAUAACCAUAAAUCGAUUUAUUUUCAAUUUUCUCCACAUAUUCAUAUAUUUAAAAUUUCAGGGUAUUACAUAUAUUGUAUUGGAAAAUAAACAACAAGAAAGUUCAGAUGCCAUACCCUUUAAUAGCCAUAACAAGUGUUGAAGUUGUCGAAGUUGUAGUUUUACUAGAACUGUUUGUUGUCGUUUCAGGUACAAUGUAAGGAAUAUUUCGUCAAAACUAGGUUUAUGGAUAAAAAAUAAAAAAAAACAUACCAACUCAAGCAGUAAGGAUAAACAACUAAAUUAUUCUAAACAAGUGAACUCCAAAUGUAAUGACCUGUCUCAAAAUUUUAUAAAUUUCAGAACGACAAGGGUAAAUUGGUAUUUUCACAUGUGAGAGAUAUUUGCAUGUUUGUCUCUUAUGACUUGUUUGGUGCGCCAAUGAGGCCCACCGCUUUUAUUUGGGGACUAGGAUUAUCUCUUCUGACACACCCUGACCCAAAAUAUCGAGAUGUGCUGGCAGUCACGUGAGGAUGACGUAGCCAUGCGCGUUGUGCGGAAGAAUUAAAGUGAAAGACAGUGAGGAAACGAAAAGUAAACCGAAUAAUUUACAUCAAAAGAUAAGUGAGUAAAAGUGAUGAAAAGGAAAGCAUAAAGCACCACAUCAAAGUUCAAGUAACCUAGGUGCAGUCCGGAAUAAACAAGUACUGAAUAAACGUUAACCAAAUAAAUCCUACAUGGAUGAUGCCUUGUUAAAACUGUCUCGAUGCCUCGCUCGCCACCAACGUCGCAACUACCUAAAACUUGGAGCGGCGCAAAACUGAAAACAUGAGUGGGUAAAAACAAAGUUUUUCCAAAACCGUUUCAAUAUCAAAAUAGUAACCCCUCUCCCUAUACUUUCUCAGAAAAUAUCAUCCAUACUCAAAUAUCAAUCAUGCUGGAAAACGAUAAAUCUCAAAUAUGCCAUGUUAGAAUACGACAUGUCGAAUUACCCAAUCAAAACAAAAUAAGUAUCAAGUAGGUGAGAUAAAUCAAAUCAUAAUAUGCCGCCAAUCUCAAUACGUCAGUUGGAGUCACCUAACGUGAACUGUACGACUGAAUAUAUAGCUCCUCAAUCACUAUCUUGCACACGAGUCGGAACCACCUAUAGUGGUCUGUACGACAGGCUGGGUGUAUAAUUACGCUCAGUGCUACGAUCACGUGAAGGCUGUGCAACGUAUCACAAGUCACCUAUGAGUCGGAACCACCUAUAGUGGUCUGUACGACAGGCUGGCACCUGCCUUGGGUCCAAGGUGAGCGUACGGUGCGGGAGGUGAACGAUCACGUGAAGGCUAUGCCGUACUCUGGCAGAGCACAAACACCGGGGUGCAGGAAUAUGAGCUAUAUCUCAAUCUCAUCAUCAUCACAACUAUCACUAACAAGUAUACUCACCUGACUUACCUGAGCGACGCCAAUUCAUAACCAACAUAAAUCAUAAUAAACAAUAAUGAUAUUCGACAUGGCAUUUCAAUUAUAAAACCAUUUUAAAACAUAAUAUCUGGGAAAAUAUCAAAUAUAUAUAUAUAUAUUCUGAAAACAAAAGCCCACUCACUGAUAAGUAGAAGGGUCUUAGCCCCCGAGCCUGGCAUGGCUGUGCUCGUCUUCUGGAUAAGCCUUACCUAUAUGUGAAACAACUAUAAAACCGUCAAUUAAACGCACAUAACCAACCUUAGGUAAUAACUUCUCAUACAUUGCUCAAUUGGAGGUGUUUGAAUCUAACAACAUGCUUUACUUAAUCUCAGAACACCCUCAUAUUUUUAGAAAAAAUUUCUUGUCACCCACGCGUAGGCACGUGCCUGGCACACGGACGGAACAGUUAAUGCCGUAAGGAAUAUUUUGUUAAAAAGUAACAGAUUCCAUUAAAUCUAACCUGACACUGUUAGAAUAUUCCAUCAAACUUGACGGAAUAUUCAUCGUCUCCUUCCUUGAGUCACGGGAGUCCGGCGCCGGUCGCCGUCUGUUUGCGGGUUUCUGGAAAAUUUUCAAAUGUUGAUAUCUCAGUCAAAUCUUAACUAAAUUUCACGAAAUUAACGUCAAAAUGAAGCUUAGGACAAGGGGAAGAAAUCUAUACCAAUUUGAGGUCCCAACGAUGCUGGAAUCUCGCCAGAGAAAUCUCGAAAAAUCUGAUCAACUAUAGAACUCAAGAUUUCGACAUCCAAAACACGUCAACGUUGCUCCCCAAGCUUCGUGAAGACGUCUAGAAACUCCCUGUGAUCUUAGAAUCUCUAAAAACCUCCUCAAUCACGAGUGCAUGAACAAUACCUUUAUUGGAGCUUUCAGGUUUCAAGGGUUUUCAAGGUUUUCAGGACAAACCAAGGGUAUAGUUGAACUUGCAAGGGUGCAAGGAGAAGCAUGUAUAUCCGUACUUAGGGUAUGGAAAAUAGAAGAAAAAUCGAGAAGGAGGGAGAGACAGAACCAGAAACAGAAAAGGAAGAAAAAGGGGUGCACGUGUGCAUGUGUGUGUAUAAGUUUAACCAAUCACACCAAAACUAAGCUCAAGUUCUAAUUGGGUCCAAUAAUUUGGGAUAUCACCCUAUUGGCCCAAUGUAGCUCACACACAUAACCACAAACACGUAAGGGUAAAAACGUCAAUUCAUGCCGUCGAUAAAAUUAUUUCGGGACGGUCUGUCACAUCCUCUCUUUUUUCACCCCCUUCUUUAAUAUUCUUUAUUUUGUAUUUUUUUAUAUAAAUAAAAUAUUAAUAUAAAAUGUAAUCAUGAUCUAUUUGAACGGAAAUUGGAUGGAAAAAAAAAAGAUGAGAGACUUCUCAUUUAUUUGGUCUCCUGGUCCUCCCUCUCUCUUCCUUUUCCCCGUCACUCUCCUCUCAUCUUGGACUAUCACACUCUCUAACUCUCCCGGCCCUCAUCUCUCUCGCACGACCCUCAUCCUCCUUCAAAACCCAAAAAACUGGCGAUUCCACGGAACUGAAACCAAGCUGAAGUCCCCAUCCUUCUCUGUUCCCCCAUCAUCACUGUUCUCUCCUCCCUCGGAACCCUGCAACAUCACCAUCGCGGCAGAGCCGCCUUCUCCGGCGAGUUCGUCGAUUUCCCGACUUGGGGUAAGCCUCGGGAUGCUUAAGAUCUUCAACUGUUACUUAUCUUUUUGUCCUAUUUGCUGCUAAUGAUUUGUAGCAAGAGUUGAUUUUUAACUGUUUCUAAUUGGUAAUGGAUUAAAGGAAGUUCAUUUACUAUUAGAGGUGCAUGUGAAAGUAAGCUUGAUUCGUAACCUCGUCGAGCAUUUGGAGCUCGCUUUGACUGAGGUUUUUCGAUUUGAUGUGAUGGCGUAUAAGCUUUUCUCAGUUUCUCGGUCAUUUUAAGGGUGACCAAGAUUAUCUCUGUGAGCAAUGUUGAGGUUAGGGAUUGGAAGUAAAUGAAAAGGGGUGUCUUUUCAUCAAAGGCUGAGGCCAAGAUUAUCUUUUGAGAAAACUUUGAGGCCUUACCUAGAUUGCAAGUCUCUGUUAAGUUCCAAUUGACGAAGAUGUUUAAAACUGUUGAAAUUAUACUGCCUUAAUUGAAAGGAGGCCUUACCUAGGAUAAUAUCUAGCUCAUUCGGGGUCUUUUUUUGGUUCUUUAACUACAUGAAAUUUGCAUUGAGAUGAAUUCUUAUCCUGAAUGAGUACAUGUGAGAAUCACGCGUGAUUGACGGAAAAUUAUGAAAUAAGAUAAUGAAUUCCGAAGGCUGGGUGCUCAGCUGGAGAUGCGGAUAAACAAAGAAUUAUAUGUUGAUUUGAAAAGGAAGACGUUUAUAUUGUUGAUUGGAGUAUAUAUGGCCGAUGAGAAUAUGCUAAACCGAUAGUUGCUCCUUGUAGGUUGCGGGGGAAGUGGUAACAUUAUGUGUUCAGAAUGUGGUGGCCGCGGGUAUCUAAGAUGACCAUACCGGUUCGCUUAUCUUCCUUGAAUUUGUUGUAUGUGCAAGUAACUUGUGUUAUAGCCAUGACGCUUUCCCUAAUUUUUUGUGGCUGAUUCCACGAUGAGUUAAGUGUAACAGUAAUGCAUCUGAUUCAUUUACUCUUCGAAAUGGUGUUCUUCCUCAGAUUUAUGUGCCAUUUAUCGUGUUGAAUGUUCAGAACCAUACAAUUACCACAUAACAAACACAAAGGAAACGAAAAAACUUGAAACAAAAGUUGACAAACAAACAACCAACGACAUAAGAAAACAGACUGCAUACUUUUAUUUAGACCAUUUUUAGUACCCUCAAAACUAAUUGGCAAGUUAGUUAAUCCCCAUGAGUGACAAUGCUGUCCAUAUUCUUGGCAACUACCUCCUUAGAAUCCCUCAGUUUUCUUAUGCUUUUGUUAAGCUUCUCACGCUUUACUGCCACUGCCGGGGACUCCUCCAACAUCCUCUCAAUUCCCCCACCGUAUGGUCCCAUCAACUCAUUCACAAUCUCAGCUUCCAUCUCUUUGUUCACAAGGUUGAAAACAGACAGCUGCAAGUGCAAUGCCAUGGAGUCCACAAGCCUCCUCAAAACAACCUUCCAAUAGGCAAUCAUUCUCAUUUUAAGGUCAUAAGCUUGAGCUAAAACAUGCGGGUACUUCCUCAGAACACCGACUUCGACUUCCCCGAUGCCUUCUAUAGCUAUG
rnacentral:lncRNA from 1 species